rnacentral:rRNA from 1 species
GACAGAGGGUGCAAACGUUGUUCGGAAUUACUGGGCGUAAAGCGCGUGUAGGCGGCUACGUAAGUCGGACGUGAAAUCCCAUGGCUCAACCGUGGAAGAGCGCUCGAAACUGUGUAGCUUGAGUCCUGGAGAGGAAAGCGGAAUACUUGGUGUAGAGGUGAAAUUCGUAGAUAUCAGGUAGAACACCAGUGGCGAAGGCGGCUUUCUGGACAGUGACUGACGCUGAGACGCGAAAGCGUGGGGAGCAAACAGG